GAGGGGACGAGGGCCGGAGCCCCAAACGUCCGGGGGGGAGAGGGCGCCUCGGCCCACAAAGGGACCCCCCCUCCCCCAAUUCACGGGGACACAUCCGGACAAAACGGACGCCGCGGAGGACAAAGGGAGAGGCCGUCUCUGCCCUAGGAAGAGACAGAAGGAGAGGAGAGAGAAACAAAGGGAGGAGCAGGACCCAGCGCAGGGACGGGCGAGGAGAGAGGCCGAGGAACAGCAGGAAGGCCAAAGCGUGGCCGGAGGUGAACACCCAGAGUGAGGCAGAAAGACAGAGGCACCGGGAGAGGCCAAAGAUGGGGCGGAGAGCCGCGGCUAGAAAGAGAGACGUCAUCCACUGUCCCUCCCGGCCCAGGACCGUCGGGGGGUAGGCCGACAUCCCAGGUCUCGCCACCCCCGGAGGAGGUUGUGGGAGUCACCUCCUCUAUAGGCCCUACCUGCCAUUUGGCUUUGGCAAAAUUCUUCUGGAUCUGGGCGCACACACCCUCCCGCAGGUUCUUCUCGGCCGCCAUGUUCCCCGAGAUCCUGGGGGAAGACGAAGGGGGGCAUCUUUCAAGACCGGCCCGGCUCUCGCGACCGUCUCGUCCUGGCCCUCCCGUCCAUCUGGUCAUCCCUGCGGGCGCUUCCCCCACCACCCGCCCCCAAUCUCCUCCAGGCCCCUCCGGGCUUCCCCACCAGACAUGGCCGAGCGCUUCCUGGGCCGUGAUGCGUUGGUCCUGAUCGAUCUCCAUGAGCCUCAUCACCAGCUUCUUAGCUGCGGAUCUUGCGGAAGAUGGUGCGGUUGCUGUUGCCGUCGUCGCCGCCCUCCUCCUCCUGCUCGUCGUAGAAAGGAGGAUUCCCAGACAGCCUGCG